rnacentral:lncRNA from 1 species
UUAACUAUUUUGAUCCUCACAGAACACCUAUGAGAUGGACACUCUUAUUGCCUCCAAUAUACAGGAGACAGAGAGAAAAAGACAUCAUUUGAUUUUGUCCUCUGUCCUCGGGAUGAAUUUAUGGCUGUGAGUGAACAUGAAAUGAACAACGUGAAUCUGUUGUUUCCCAAGUUAUCUAACUUCUGCCUAAGUGAGAGUAUCUUGCUACGGCUGGACUACAGUUGGCACUAUCAUGGCUCAGUGCAGACUGCACCUCCUGGGCUCAAGCAAUCCUCCUGCCUCAGGCUCCUAAGUAGCUGGGACUAGAAGUGCACCACCACACCGAGACAAUUUUUGUGAAUGUGUGUGUAGAGAUGAGAUCUUGCUUUGUUGCCCAGGCUGGUCUCAAAUUUCUGACCUCAAGUGAUUCUCCUACCUCAGCUUCCCAAAAUUCUGGGAUUACACCACACUCAAUCCUUUAUUUUUAUUUUAAGCACUGAGAUUAAAGUUUAUUCCAUGUGAGAUGCUACUAUGCUGUAAAGCCAUCAAUUAGCAGUCUAAACCAUAAUUUAUCUUAGUAUAAUCUAUAGUUUUGUGAUGGUGCUGGGAAAACUGGCUAGCGAUAUGCAGAAAACUGAAACUGGACCCCUUCCUUACACCUUAUACAAAAAUUAAUUCAAGAUGGAUUAAAGACUUAAAUGUUAGACCUAAAACCAUAAAAACCCUAGAAGAAAACCUAGGCAAUACCAUUCAGGACAUAGGCAUGGGCAAAGACUUCAUGACUAAAACAUCAAAACCAAUGGCAACAAAAGCCAAAAUUGACAAAUGGGAUCCAAUUAACUAAAGAGUUUCUGCACAGCAAACGAAACUAUCAGCAGAGUGAACAGGCAACCUACAGAAUGGGAGAAAAUUUUUUGCAACCUAUGCAUCUGACAAAGGGCUAAAAUCCAGAAUCUACAAAGAAUUUAAACAAAUUUACAAGAAAAAAAAUCAAACAACCCCAUCAAAAAGUUGGCAAAGGAUAUGAACAGGCACUUCUCAAAAGAAGACAUUUAUGCAGCCAACAAACAGAAAAAAAGCUGAUCAUCACUGGUCACUAGGGAAAUGCAAAUCAAAACCACAAUGAGAUACCAUCUCACGCCAGUUAGAAUGGUGAUCAUUAAAAAGUCAGGAAACAACAGAUGCUGGAGAGGAUGUGGAGAAAUAGAAACAGUUUUACAUUGUUGGUGGGAGUGUAAAUUAGGUCAACCAUUGUGGAAGACAGUGUGGUGAUUCCUCAAGGAUUUAGAACCAGAAAUACCACUUGACCCAGCAAUCCCAUUACUGAGUACAUACCCAAAGGAUUAUAAAUCAUUCUACUAUAAAGACACAUGCACACAUAUGUUUUUAACAGCACUGUUCACAAUAGCAAAGACUUGAAACCAACCCAAAUGCCCAUCAAUGAUAGGCUGGAUAAAGAAAAUGUGUCACAUAUACACCAUGGAAUACUGUGGAGCCAUAAAAAGGAUGAGUUCAUUUCCUUUGCAGGGACAUGGAUGAAGUUGGAAAUCAUCAUUCUCAGCCAGCUAACACAAGAACAGGAAACCAAACUCUGCAUGUUCUCACUCAUAAGUGGGAGGUGAACAAUGAGAACACAUGGACACAGGGAGGGGAACAUCACACAGAAGGGCCUGUCAAGG